rnacentral:rRNA from 1 species
CUCAAACUGGGAUUAGAUACCCCACUAUGCUUAGCCCUAAACACAAAUAAUUAUAUUAACAAAAUUAUUCGCCAGAGUACUACCGGCAACAGCCUAAAACUCAAAGGACUUGGCGGUGCUUUAUAUCCCUCUAGAGGAGCCUGUUCUAUAAUCGAUAAACCCCGAUAGACCUCACCAAUUCUUGCUAAUGCAGUCUAUAUACCGCCAUCUUCAGCGAACCCUAAAAAGGUACAAAAGUAAGCGCAAUCACAACGCAUAAAAACGUUAGGUCAAGGUGUAACCUAUGAAAUGGGAAGAAAUGGGCUACAUUUUCUACACCAAGAACACCCAACACGAAAGUUAUUAUGAAAAUUAAUAACCAAAGGAGGAUUUAGCAGUAAACUAAGAAUAGAGUGCUUAGUUGAACUAGGCCAUGAAGCACGCACACACCGCCCGUCACCCUCA